rnacentral:rRNA from 1 species
GUGCAGCAGGCGAGAAUCCUCCGCAACGCGCGAAAGCGCGACGGGGCCACCCCGAGUGCCGCCCGCUGAGGGCGGCUUUUCCCCGGUGUAGACAGCCGGGGGAAUAAGGGGAGGGCAAGUCUGGUGUCAGCCGCCGCGGUAAUACCAGCUCCCCGAGUGGUGGGGACGAUUAUUGGGCCUAAAGCGUCCGUAGCCGGCCCGGCAAGUCUCCCGUUAAAUCCAGCGAUCUAAUCGCUGGACUGCGGGAGAUACUGUCGGGCUAGGGGGCGGGAGAGGCCGGCGGUAUUCCCGGGGUAGGGGUGAAAUCCUAUAAUCCCGGGAGGACCACCAGUGGCGAAGGCUGCCGGCUGGAACGCGCCCGACGGUGAGGGACGAAAGCCGGGGGAGCGAACCGGAUUAGA